AGCGUAGGCGGGGGAAUAAGUUAGGAAGUUUAAUGUAUAGGGCUUAACCCAUAAUCUGCUUCUAAUACUGUUUCCCUUGAGUAUGGGAGAGGGAGAUGGAAUUCCAGGUGUAGCGGUGGAAUGCGUAGAUAUCUGGAAGAACACCAGCUGCGAAGGCGGUCUCCUGGCCCAAUACUGACGCUGAGGCUCGAAAGCUAGGGGAGCAAACAGGAUUAGAUACCCUGGUAGUCCUAGCUGUAAACGAUGGACACUAGAUGCUGGAGGAGUCAAUCCUUUCGGUGUCGUAGCUAACGCGUUAAGUGUCCCGCCUGGGGAGUACGCUCGCAAGGGUGAA
rnacentral:rRNA from 1 species